AUUGAACGCUGGCGGCAUGCUUUACACAUGCAAGUCGAACGGUAACAGGCCGCAAGGUGCUGACGAGUGGCGAACGGGUGGGUAAUGCAUCGGAACGUGCCCAGUCGUGGGGGAUAACGCAGCGAAAGCUGUGCUAAUACCGCAUACGAUCUAUGGAUGAAAGCGGGGGACCGUAAGGCCUCCCGCGAUUGGAGCAGCCGAUGUCAGAUUAGGUAGUUGGUGGGGUAAAGGCUCACCAAGCCAACGAUCUGUAGCUGGUCUGAGAGGACGACCAGCCACACUGGGACUGAGACACGGCCCAGACUCCUACGGGAGGCAGCAGUGGGGAAUUUUGGACAAUGGGCGCAAGCCUGAUCCAGCAAUGCCGCGUGCAGGAAGAAGGCCUUCGGGUUGUAAACUGCUUUUGUACGGAACGAAAAGGUUUGGGUUAAUACCCUGGGCCGAUGACGGUACCGUAAGAAUAAGCACCGGCUAACUACGUGCCAGCAGCCGCAGUAA
rnacentral:rRNA from 1 species